UCCCCUGCUGUCAUUUCCCGCUGUGCCAACUAUCAGGCACUUAAUCACCAUGGUAUCCUGUACAUGAGGCAGUGUUAAUGCCUGUGGGACACGUGGGCUUGAAAGGACCUGUAGGAACGAAGUGAAUCCCAACCCUUGGCUUCGCAGGAAGGAUGACCCCAAACCUCCGACCAGACCCACUGCA
rnacentral:lncRNA from 1 species